UAGAUAUAAGUUAUCCCCUAUAACUAGUCGGAUAACCGUGCCGUGUGGGUAUGGGGUACCCAUAAUCUCAACAAAUGGCUAGGAGGAGCUCCGGGAUAGCAUGUCCAACGGGAGCUUGUCGGCGGCACAAUGGUGGCCAGGUCAGCACGGCUAUAGACACUAAUUGCACAAACUGGAGCUGGCGCUAGUUAUUAGAGGUACAAAGGAUGCUACGGGCGUGAGAGUGUACCAUGAGAACGCGAGACGGCGAAAAGCGGCGGAGUAGGGCUCGAUGUGUCGCAGAACAUAGGCAGACAGCAUUGACGGUGCCCGAAAGUGCUCGUCGACGUUCCUUGCAUUAACGUCCAACCUCCCCAAUGGCGACGACGGCAGCGCGGCUCCGCCUCCACUUCCUCCAACCUCCAACUCCGGCCGGGGAGACCCCGCAAUGGUGGUUUCUAGUAGCGGUGAGAUCAUGCAUGGAAGGUGCUUGAUGAAAUGUAUUCGGGACGAAAGCUGAGAGGAAUGGGGAUUUUACUGGGGGCUUAGCUUAGGGUGUAAGGAAACCAUGGGGAUAAGAUCGCCAGCACAUGGCCUGGAUGAGCUAGAGCUCUAAUGGCGAUCGGAUAAGAGCAAUGAGGUGGAUGACGCGACUAAGGUUCAUCUCCUUCUCCAUUAAGGUUCUAUGGCUCCAUCAUUGUGCCUAUAGCCUAUAGUCUGCGAGUUUUAGUCCUAGCUGGGGAAGGGGACUCUGUUUUAUCCACUAGACAUAAAGAGGGGCGCCGAGACAUCAUUGGCUGUGGAUAAGGUGGCGGACGUGGCCAUGGCGACGCGCGCACAUGGAAGCUGUGGCGGAACGGCGGCUUGGUUGGGCGGCGGGCCCACGCGGGCGCUGUGCGCCGUGGUGCGGUGCACGGGAGGCAGGUGUGAGGCGGCAUGGGCGUUGCUGGCGCGGCCGGGAGCGAUGUGGUGCACGCGAUACAUAGGAUCGAACGGUUGGCAGACAAUGUACAGUAGCGCCUAGAAAGGAGAGAAAAGG
rnacentral:sRNA from 1 species